GUAAUAUUCUUCUUUUUUUUUUUUCUUUAAACUUAGUCCAAAAAUAGUGAACAUAAUUUGAAUGUCAACAUGGUCUGUCAUAGGUCUCACUUCCACCUUUGAUAUUUAUGCAUUUAAGGUAUGAUGAUUCCAAAUUUAUACAAGUUUCCUGUUUACAUAUAAUGUUCUGCUGAAUAUGUGCAGCACAUGGAAAUUGGACUUGAUUUUGUAAUAUGUUAUGCUGUAGCAUGAGUUGAAAGGGGAGCUUGGUCCUAAAGGACAGAAGGGAGAACCAGCAGAAGGUUACUAUGACCCUCAUCAUAGUGGAGCACAAGGUCCACCCGGAAGACCUGGACCACCGGGCCCUAGAGGAGAAUCUAUUAAUGGCCCUCCAGGACGUCCAGGGCCCCCAGGGCCUCCUGGAACCCCACGGAAUUGGUUAUGAUGGUCGCCCAGGUAUGUUUCAUGUCCUGAUCUAAUUUCUUGUCUCUCCCUUUUUCCAGUCUUGUCUCAAACUGCCGUUAAAAAGAUUUUGCCUUUUUAUUUUAACACCUUGAUCCUUUAGCAUUCAGUAUUCCUGGGCCUCCUGGACCUCCUGGACCCCCUGGACCUCCGGGGCAUUUAACUGGGGUGAGUUUACACUAAACUGCAACACUACUUACUGUCUGUAGGCACAUUGAUCUUUUUUUUUCUUAGUUAGUUGGUUCGUGUUAUUUUUUUCCUUUUCCAGGUUAGUUGGUUUUGGUUAGGUCGUUGUU
rnacentral:lncRNA from 1 species